GCUUUUGAAGAGAGGCGCUGGGAACAGCGCGGGGCCCAGGUGCACCGUCAGGAGGCCCAGCGGGUCAGGACCCAUGUCUGGUCCCCUGGAACGCACCCGCUGCCCUCAUUUGAGCAUCUAAGCCUCGUGGGGCGCGUGGGGCCCGUGGGGUCCCUGCUCCGGGAGCUGUGGGCCAGGCCGUCGCUUGCGCCGCCGCCACUGCCCAAGCCCCGCUGGGGAUGCGUGUCCCGGGCGUCCUCUGGAGGCGCAAAAGUGCGUGCGGCCUCGGUGUCCAGGGUGCAGCCUUGACACCUGUGAAUGCCCGGACCACAUCCUCCUGGGCUCAGUGGUCACCCCAUCUGGGCAACCACUGCUAGGAGCCAGGGUCUCCCUGCGAGACCAGCCUGGCACUGUGGCCACCAGCGAUGCUCACGGAACCUUCCGGGUGCCUGGUGUCUGUGCUGACAGCCGCGCCAACAUCAGGGCCCAGAUGGAUGGCUUCUCUGCAGGGGAGGCCCAGGCCCAGGCCAACGGAUCCAUCUCUGUGGUCACCAUCAUCCUUGAUAAGUUGG
rnacentral:sRNA from 1 species